GAGGACGACCUCCAGGCCGUGGGACCCGAGCGUUCCCUCACGCGUCCGUGCUCGCGCGCGCGGCGCCGGGGCCCUAAAGGCUUUAGGUGCUGGAGCACACAGGGUGUCAUGGAAUUGGCCCCGGGAAAGGGUCCUUAAGCGGGACCCGCGCGGGUAGUGUGGACGCUUACCAGCGUCAGCGGUGUCUGCCCAUUUUAAAAAGAAGGGAAACAGGAUUUUACUGUUACGGAGAUCCACCUACCUCUCUGCCUCCCAGGUGCUGAGAUUAGAGUGUACCACCAUGUCCAGUCAGAAACCCCAAGUUUGACAGCAGCUUUUCUGUUUUAAGGAAGGCUCCAUCCACAGCCUGUGGCAAGAGAAGAUAUGUUUUGGUUUGCGUCAAAUCGAUGUGAUGAAGUCACCUGCACUAGACACACAACAAGAGUCAGGGCUCAGUGGGGUGAGCCGAAGAUUAAACCACCCUUCCCAGCGUAGGGCUGGGGGAUGGACUUCCUGGCUGCUGGCUCUCUUCUUGUCCAGGAGGACUGGGAAUUGGGAGCAGAGGAGAUGGUCCUGCCUGAUGUCCCCAGCUAAGGCACUCAUGCCCACAUGGCCUGUGGGGUUUGUGGAAGCAGAAUUUGCACAGAUAGCCCAGGAUAGCCCCAUUGCAGGCCAAGCCAAGCCAAGAACCCAGUGAGCCCAAUAAUGGACCCUUGGGCCAACAGAAGCUUCCCAAGAAUCACUUUGUCAUUCAGUGAUCUCCUGGGACUGACCCUGGAGGAAGAUGCGGAUGUGUUGGAUUUGGCGACCCUUGGAAUGACCCUCAGGAAGAAGAGAGCGUGAUGCCCACAUGGUAGAAGAAGGGAGUAGCUGGUACUAGGCCAGCCAGGUCACUGGAUCCCCAUCAGUAUGCCUCAGAUGGGGCUGAACUGGCACUACGGGCUCUGAGCUUGAAGUGGAGGCUCAGGUCCUAGCUGACUUGUAGCUCCAGGGAGCCUGAGAGCCAAUCUACUGGGCUGCCUGUGCCUCAGUACCUAUGCAGGGAAGAGUGUGGAGGAAGUGCUUGAUAAACGUUUGUGGAUGAAGAGCAGAAGUCUGUUUCUGGCUGACUUAAAACCGCUAUAUCUUUUUUUUUCCCUUCUGUCCUGAUGAGCCUUAAGUGGUGGCCGGCCAGUGGUUGGCUAGUCACUCUGCCCGGGAGUCUCCCGCAGGCACGGAUUACCAUGCUAUACCCAUGUAUGGCCACCAGAGGUCGCCCCGCACCGCCGGCAGCAGAAAGCGGUUGGGUUGGUAGACUCACAGAAGUGGGGCAGGAUGGUUGGGAACAGGGCUGAGGAAUUUACCAACAGAGUUCUGGGCUCCUCAGGUGGGCCUGCUCCUACUUGACAUCAUGAGUUUAUCUUCUGUCGCAGCAGGCCCAGCUGGGUCCAGCUCACCUGGAUGAUGUGAAGGUGGAACUGGGUGGUGCUGGUGCCCCAGGACGUGGGCUUAGUACUUAUGGCUCAGGCCCUGCACUUCUGGGGCUCCAAGCCCUAGCUAGAGACAGGGUUGGUGCCAGGAACGUUUGGUCCUAGGGAGAGGGGAGGGGACCAAGCUAUGCUGGGUCGUGCAAGCCAGGGUGGAAAGCUGCUGUUAUCAAGACAUAUGGGGAACUUUGGGUCUGGGGGUUUCCUCCCAGGUCAUCAGGCUCAGGGUACAAAUGAGGGCUUUGGUGAAGAAGUAGCUGCUCUCCAGUGCCUGCAGCAUGGUUUGCAGCCCAGCUCCAUUUUGGGCUGGCAGGACAGGUUCUUAAAUGGUUCUCUAUCCCCAUUCUGAUGCCUUUCUGCCUUUAAGACUCCCUGCCCACCGCUCCAAGGUUUUCCUCCUGCCCAUAACAUAUGAGUCUCACCCCAGCCAUCAUGGUUCUGUCCAGACUCAUAGCAUCUUCGACUGAAAGCCUGGGACCCUCCUCACUUCCCUGGGGCCUGCCAAACCUCUCUCUCCCAAUGAGAUGAUUCGUGUAUGCAGCCCCUGGGGCCAGUGCUUCUUUGGCGGUCUCCCUUCCUCCAUGUUCCCUGGCACCCCAGCCCAGGAGCUUACUGUUCAUGCUAGCUGGGUUUACAGUCAAGGCUCUGGCUGCUUCGUGAUAGGAGUGGCCUUCGUGAUAGGAGUGGUUCCAGGACCCAGCAGUACAUGUGGCUUUAAGCGAGGUGAGAUGGGAGGAAGAAGGGAGAGUGUGUGGGGGACCACAGGGGUCCAGAGAGCCUGGAGAAGCAGCUGUGGUUCUGUUCUGAACACUGGAUCUACUCAGAUAAGAGGCAGAGAGAUGGUCUCUGGUCAGGCACUGGCUCACCGCAGCCUGCCUGCUGGGCUGACUCUGUUGCUAGGAAUCCUUGUCAACCUCAUAGAUGCUGACCCAUCAGACAUGAGAUGCGCAGAGCAGGUUGUGCAUCCCAUCCUGCAAAGGAACAGCCCUGUGUGUUUAACGUUCCAGGUUCCUCUAGGGUUGAUCUGUGAGUUCGGGGACCUCCAUGCCUCCUACAGCUAACUGUGUUGAACGACAGCUGUGCAUACAGCCUUAAGCUUGGUAAGGGACCCAUACAGAACAGAAGGUUCCUCUGCUUCUCCAAGUCCUCCAGACCAAGUCCUCAAAGCCAGAAGAUUCUGUCCUCAGCAUGGUCAAGGAAGACUGGAGAAGUUUCACAAGGGGCUCCUGCUGGGACUGUGAGCCUGUACUUCUGCCCAGCACCCCUAGCUCUGCCAGCUGUCCUUCCAUAGUCCCCUUCAGAGGCCUAUAACCAGACCACCCAUCCAUCUAUACCUCCAUCUUUUCAUCCCUCUAUCCCCCACCCUUCCAUCCACCCAUCCCUCUACCCACCCAUCCCUAUAUCUUUCCAUCCAUCCCUCCAUUCUUCUCACACAGUUAUCUGUCCAUCUGUCCAUCCACCUGUCUAUCCAUUCUUCCUCUACCUAUCCAUCCACCUGUUUAGCCACCCGAUUAUCAUUUUUUUAUUCACUUGCUCAUUAGUUACAAUACAUAUUGUUGUUAGAUAGUUAGGUUUUUCAAGACACAGUUUCUCUGUGUAGCGCUGUCUCUCCUGAAACACUCUCUGUAGACCAGGCUAGCCUAGAACUUAAAGAUCUGCCUGCCUCUGCCUCCUGAGUGCAGGGAUCAAAGGCAGGCACCAGCACUCCUGGCUGCAUGUUUAUUUGUUAGAGACAGGGAGGCACUAGCGCUUUAGUCCAGGCUGGCCUGGAAAUCACUAUGUAGCCUAGGCUAGCCUUAAAUUUCUGACAGUCCUGCUUAAGCUUCCUAAGUGCUAGAAUAACGUGUGAGGAAGCACACGUGGCUUGCACAUGCGUUGUACAUGUGGCACCAUGUGCCAGGCACUGGGGAUGCACAGAGCACACAGUCUGAGCACUCCUCAGUUACAAAGUAACUAAGGUGCAGCAGGUGCACGUGCCAUGGUGGGAGAACACAAGGAACAGGACACAGAAUGACUGGGAGGUGUCAGGACUGCAGGGGACAGGUAGAGUGGGGCCUGUCAGACUCUCUCUGUAUCCCUGAGCCACUGGCUCACAGUGAGAGCCUGCUCCACUCUGGUGUGUCACAGGACGUCCGUGAGUUAUUUCCUCCACGAUGUUAAGGUUCUUGUGCAGUCUCCUUGGCCUGUUACACGAGGCUGUUCUGAGAAGGACAUGUAGCUGGGGGUUCUGCUUGGUCAGUAGCAAAACCCCUACAUGGGUGUGCAUGUUCUGGGGGUCCGUCUCAGCUUGAGAUGAAAGGUCAGGGUCUGAUCCCAGCUCCCUGUGGUCUCUGUCACUGGUCAGAGGUGUGCAUUGGCCACCCUGCCUUUCCUUACUUAACUUUGUAGUGCUUAGGUUAGGUAAUGGCAGAAUGGAGACUGGGGCUCCACACCAGCCCUGACCCAAAUCCAUGAGCCCCAGCAAUGUGGACAUCCUUAGACAUUCAUGGCCACAUCUUCCUGGCUCCCAUAGUCUUCCUGAGGCAGGAGGAUGAUCCCUGUUUUGUUCCAGCUGGCAGCAGCCACCUGAGCAGUUCUGAGCUGGGCUCUGGGGUCACAGGCUGACUACCUAAAUCCUGCUCUGGGCCUGACUCCUCACCUGUGAGAGAGACGUAGAGGAGGGCAGCACCAUCCCAGAAUGGACAGAAGAGCCAAACCUGACCCAGGGGAUCAGAAUGCUCCGCACGGAGUCCAGCGCAUCCGGGCACCCGAGAGUCUAGAAGUCUCAUUAAUAAUAACACAAACCUCCUGCCUCUGUGGCUUGCUCUCGCCCCACCCCCACCAUCCUUCUAAGGAUUGAAGACAGCAGCUGGCAGUGGGAGGUGGUUUCUUUAAAUACAGGAUGAGAACAAAGGAAAAAUAGAACAGGGGGGUGGUGUGUGGCCUACGCCAACUAUCCCCCUCCAAACUUGGGGGAGGGACCUAGGGUCCCAAGCCACCAACCAGCUGCCACCAGCCUCUGUGUGUCCCCUGGGCUCUUGAGGAAGUGAGCCUUGCUGUGCAUCAGGCUUGUCUGCUAGGACAGGACAAUCCUGGCUUGGACUGGGAUGUCACCACGGGAGGAGACACUUCCUGCCUGGCUAUAAGGUUGCCCCCUGAGAAGCAGGAAGUAGGCUGAGCUGCUGGGGUUUCUCUGCCUACUUCCAAGACAACAUGGGGUUUUUCCUAGAAGAUUCUCUGUAGGCCCCAUGAACUUCGAAGGCUAUACCCCUCUAGCUGCCCACUCUCCUUGGUUGCCAUGGAGCCCGUGACCAAGUCCUUGCCCCUGCCUCCUUAGGCCAGUCCCUUAGAGCCCUCCACUCUCUUGAGAACCUGUGCCUCUUGGUCUUUGUGGUGCCCACGGGGCACUGGAUGCCAUUCUUUUCGAUGGCUGGUACCAGUCACUGCUCCUCCAGGCAGGGUGCUGGCACUGGGCUUCGAAAUGUGUGUGACAAAGCUGUCCACUUCCCCUUGAAGACUCAGAGGGGACUGAGGUGUUCCCUGCACCACAGACAACAGUGAAGAGCCACAACGCAGGUGGAUGUGCCUUCUCUCAGGGCAGAAGUAGCUAAGCAAUAGGUGAACCAGGGCCAUGCCUGGAAUGUGGAGCCCCUCAGGACAGAGGUAAACAGAAGCACUGAGAAUGAGCACGUGCCAGGAGCCUCCUGGCUGGAGUUGCGUCCUGGCUAGAUCUUGGGCUAACGAGUCACUCUCUGAGCUACUCUCCAGUAGUUCCUCUACUUGUAGAUGACGGAUGGCAAUUCUUGACUCAAAGGUCUGCUGAGGAUUACACGACAUGUCACAAGGAAGGAAGCCCAGGGGCCGUCAAAUGCAGGACUUUGCCAAAGGAAGAACCCUUCCCCCAGAAAACGCUAUGGCCCAGUUGGGUGCG
rnacentral:lncRNA from 1 species